GACGACGCUGGCGGCGUGCCUAAUACAUGCAAGUAGGACGAGUUGCGAACGGGUGAGUAACGCGUUGUCACCUGCCUAUUAGAGGGGGCUAACUAUUGGAAACGAUAGCUCAUACCGCAUACUAGUAGAUUGCACUGCGUUGUAUUAGCUAGUAGGUAGGGUAAUGGCCUACCUAGGCGACGAUACAUCGCCGAUCUGAGAGGGUGAUCGGCCACCCUGGGACUGAGACACGGUCCAGACUCCUACGGGAGGCAGCAGUGGGGAAUAUUGCACAAUGGGCGCAAGCCUGAUGCAGCCAUGCCGCGUGUAUGAAGAAGGCCUUCGGGUUGUAAAGUACUUUCAGCGGGGAGGCGUUACCCGCAGAAGAAGCACCGGCUAACUCCGUGCCAGCAGCCGCGGUAAUAC
rnacentral:rRNA from 1 species